rnacentral:rRNA from 1 species
CAGUUGUCCAGCAUACCCUCCCGGGGUGGAUGGGUACACUGUGGAGACCGCCGCUGGCUAAAGCGGAGGAAGGAGUGGGCAACGGUAGGUCAGUAUGCCCCGAAUCUCCCGGGCUACACGCGGGCUACAAUGGUUGGUACAAUGGGCAUCUACCCCGAAAGGGGAAGGAAAUCUCUUAAAGCCAAUCGUAGUUCGGAUUGAGGGCUGCAACUCGCCCUCAUGAAGCUGGAAUCCGUAGUAAUCGCGUUUCAACAGAACGCGGUGAAUACGUCCCUGCUCCUU